UGGAAGGUCUGUGAGGCUGGAGAGAACUGAGCUGAAAACAGAUGAGGUUCUUCUUAAAAAGGGAAGCUGCCUCCUUGGGUUGGUAGCCACUUGCUGUCAGGACAAGGAGGCAAGCUAACAAAUAAAAGGGGUCCACUGAAGCUUCCCCCACACAUGGGGAGCAGACGCUGCAGUGGAUGGCAGCUUCGGCUCCCUCCAGCGGAACUGAACUCUGCGUACUUCCAGCCACUUUGAAAACAUGAGAGCUGAUGGACUUGCUGUCUCUCUGCUUAUCUUAAUAGUUCAUCUGUUUGAAGGGGAUUCAUUGCUCCUCCUGAAAUUACAUUUAUGACCUUUGUGUUUAUAGAUUCCAUGUGCUGAUAUGGUUCAGUGACACAAACUGAGUCUACACAGUACAGCACAGACCAGUCCAUCAGAAGACAGCCUAGCAGAAGUGGCCAGUACAAACGAGGCACUCGUUAUACAACUGCCAUAAACCCCUUCGGAAAGCACGAAAGUAGACCUAAAAGUGUCUGAAACAGAAGCAGUGAGUUCACGUAUGGAGGAGCCUGGUGUUGCGUGUCCCAGUCCGUGUGGUGGCUCAGCCCUGCUGCGUCCACGGUGAUGACAGCCGGUGAUGGUGCCAACAAUAUGGACCCCACCACAGGCAAAGGGUGGUGACUGAGAAGCCUCCAGGUAGGCCCCUGCCCACAUCUCAGGAAGAUAUGGUGCUCCAACUCUAGAAGGGGCUGCCGCACAGAGGAAGGACAGGAGGCAGGGACCUUUUAUGGGGCUUCCCCUCUGUGAGGUAAUGUGAGCAGCAGGUCUGGCCCCCUGACAGAGCUGUCCAUGCAAAGCUGUCCUCUCAGUGCUGCCCAGGUUCAGUGCGGGGCAGUCUUACCUUUAGACACCAGGAUCGGGAGGAAGAAGAGAAGGAGAUGCAGUGGUGGGAGGGUGAGUGAGGGUGUGCAAGACAGAAAAGUUGGUUAGAAUCAGAAAGAAAAAAAAGAGUCUACCCUGCAAUACUAGCAGAAAGGGUGCCCUGGGCCAGGAGUGCUUUUAGUAUCUUGGGGACAAGUGAGAAUGGAGGUGUUCUCACAGUGCAGUCUGGGGACCUGAUCCUUUCGAUAGGUCCCAGUUAAAACCACUUCUAUGAUAAUGCUAAGAUCGUAUGGCUCUUUCCCCUCGUUCUCUCGCUGAGUGUAAAUGGACUUCUCCGAAGGUGACAUGACGUGGUAACACAGCAAGUCAAAUGCAGAUGAGAGUCCAUCUGUGUUUUAAGCCAGUAUGGAAGAG